ensembl:snoRNA
CUCCGUGUGCUUUUUGAACCUUCCGCCUGUGGCAGCCUCCCUUCCUAGCCAUGGAAGAGCAAGCCUUGUUGAUUGGCAAAGCUGACACCAAGUCGUUGGUAUCAGGUUCUGACUUGCAGGAGGGACAGUC